CAGAUGUGAAAGACCCGGGGCGUCAACCUCGGAAUAGCAUUUGAAACUGGCAGACUAGAGUACUGUAGAGGGGGGUAGGAAUUUCAGGUGUAGCGGUGAAAUGCGUAGAGAUCUGAAGGAAUACCGGUGGCGAAGGCGGCCCCCUCGGACAGAUACUGACACUCAGAUGCGAAAGCGUGGGGAGCAAACAGGAUUAGAUACCCUGGUAG
rnacentral:rRNA from 1 species